UGAAGACCAUGGAUGUCAGUGGCUCA
rnacentral:piRNA from 1 species